GCUGUAGCUCAGUGGUAGAACAUAGGCUUGGCAUGUAGAAGGUCCCAAGUUCAAUCCUUGGCAUUGCA